AGAGUUUGAUCAUGGCUCAGGACGAACGCUGGCGGCGUGCUUAAUACAUGCAAGUCGAGCGAGGUUACUGUUUCGGAUCCCUUCGGGGUGAAGAAGCUUUAACCUAGCGGCGGACGGGUGAGUAACGCGUGGGUAACCUACCCCAAAGUCCGGGAUAACAGCGGGAAACCGCUGCUAAUACCGGAUGCCUUUACCUUGGGGCAUCUUGAGGUAAAGAAAGGUAACGCUUUGGGAUGGGCCCGCGUCCCAUUAGCUAGUUGGUGAGGUAACGGCUCACCAAGGCGACGAUGGGUAGCCGGCCUGAGAGGGUGGACGGCCACACUGGGACUGAGACACGGCCCAGACUCCUACGGGAGGCAGCAGUAGGGAAUAUUGCGCAAUGGACGGAAGUCUGACGCAGCGACGCCGCGUGAGCGAUGAAGGUCUUCGGAUCGUAAAGCUCUGUCCUUGGGGAAGAAGGCGAAAGCUUGACGGUACCCAAGAAGAAAGCCCCGGCUAACUACGUGCCAGCAGCCGCGGUAAU
rnacentral:rRNA from 1 species